CCUACGGGAGGCAGCAGUGAGGAAUAUUGGUCAAUGGGCUUACGCCUGAACCAGCCAAGUCGCGUGAGGGAAGACUGCCCUAUGGGUUGUAAACCUCUUUUGUCAGGGAGCAACGCCGGCUACGUGUAGCCGGACUGAGAGUACCUGAAGAAAAAGCAUCGGCUAACUCCGUGCCAGCAGCCGCGGUAAUACGGAGGAUGCGAGCGUUAUCCGGAUUUAUUGGGUUUAAAGGGUGCGUAGGCGGAAUGCCAAGUCAGCGGUAAAAUCGCGGGGCUCAACCUCGCUCCGCCGUUGAAACUGGCGGUCUGGAGUGGGCGAGAAGUAUGCGGAAUGCGUGGUGUAGCGGUGAAAUGCAUAGAUAUCGCGCAGAACCCCGAUUGCGAAGGCAGCGUACCGGCUCCACACUGACGCUGAGGCACGAAAGCGUGGGUAUCGAACAGGAUUAGAUACCCCAGUAGUC
rnacentral:rRNA from 1 species